GACGAACGCUGGCGGCGUGCCUAAUACAUGCAAGUUGAGCGCUGAAGGUUGGUACUUGUCCCAACUGGCUGAGCAGCAAACGGGUGAGUAACGCGUGGGGAAUCUGCCUUUGAGCGGGGGACAACAUUUGGAAACGAAUGCUAAUACCGCAUAAAAACUUUAAACACAAGUUUUAAGUUUGAAAGAUGCAAUUGCAUCACUCAAAGAUGAUCCCGCGUUGUAUUAGCUAGUUGGUGAGGUAAAGGCUCACCAAGGCGAUGAUACAUAGCCGACCUGAGAGGGUGAUCGGCCACAUUGGGACUGAGACACGGCCCAAACUCCUACGGGAGGCAGCAGUAGGGAAUCUUCGGCAAUGGACGAAAGUCUGACCGAGCAACGCCGCGUGAGUGAAGAAGGGUGUCGGAUCGUAAAACUCUGUUGGUAGAGAAGAACGUUGGUGAGAGUGGAAAGCUCAUCAAGUGACGGUAACUACCCAGAAAGGGACGGCUAACUACGUG
rnacentral:rRNA from 1 species